UACGUAGGGUGCGAGCGUUGUCCGGAAUUAUUGGGCGUAAAGAGCUCGUAGGCGGUGUGUCACGUCGAUCGUGAAAACUUGGGGCUUAACCCUGAGCUUGCGGUCGAUACGGGCAUCACUGGAGUUCGGCAGGGGAGACUGGAAUUCCUGGUGUAGCGGUGAAAUGCGCAGAUAUCAGGAGGGAACACCGGUGGCGAAGGCGGGUCUCUGGGCCGAUACUGACGCUGGAGGAGCGGAAAGCGUGGGGAGCGAACAG
rnacentral:rRNA from 1 species